CCCUCACAUCACCGGAUGGAUCCAGUAAUGGGAACCCACCAGAGAGAUGUCCCCGUCCUCUGUAUUCCCGGGAUUCCACACAGAAGGGUCACACCAUUCCUCCCUAUUGCAAGAGUGGAGAUCCAAUCGAUAUAGAAUUUGAGGUGAAAUCA